rnacentral:rRNA from 1 species
GCGAACGGACGAGAAGCUUGCUUCUCUGAUGUUAGCGGCGGACGGGUGAGUAACACGUGGAUAACCUACCUAUAAGACUGGGAUAACUUCGGGAAACCGGAGCUAAUACCGGAUAAUAUUUUGAACCGCAUGGUUCAAAAGUGAAAGACGGUCUUGCUGUCACUUAUAGAUGGAUCCGCGCUGCAUUAGCUAGUUGGCAAGGUAACGGCUUACCAAGGCAACGAUGCAUAGCCGACCUGAAGGGUGAUCGGCCACACUGGAACUGAGACACGGUCCAGACUCCUACGGGAGGCAGCAGUAGGGAAUCUUCCGCAAUGGGCGCAAGCCUGACGGAGCAACGCCGCGUGAGUGAUGAAGGUCUUCGGAUCGUAAAACUCUGUUAUUAGGGAAGAACAUAUGUGUAAGUAACUGUGCACAUCUUGACGGUACCUAAUCAGAAAGCCACGGCUAACUACGUGCCAGCAGCCGCGGUAAUCACGUAGGUGGCAAGCGUUAUCCGGAAUUAUUGGGCGUAAAGCGCGCGUAGGCGGUUUUUUAAGUCUGAUGUGAAAGCCCACGGCUCAACCGUGGAGGGUCAUUGGAAACUGGAAAACUUGAGUGCAGAAGAGGAAAGUGGAAUUCCAUGUGUAGCGGUGAAAUGCGCAGAGAUAUGGAGGAACACCAGUGGCGAAGGCGACUUUCUGGUCUGUAACUGACGCUGAUGUGCGAAAGCGUGGGGAUCAAACAGGAUUAGAUACCCUGGUAGUCCACGCCGUAAACGAUGAGUGCUAAGUGUUAGGGGGUUUCCGCCCCUUAGUGCUGCAGCUACGCAUUAAGCACUCCGCCUGGGGAGUACGACCGC